rnacentral:rRNA from 1 species
UACGUAGGUGGCAAGCGUUGUCCGGAUUUACUGGGCGUAAAGAGCGCGCAGGCGGUCGUUCAAGUCGCGUGUGAAAGCCCCCGGCUUAACUGGGGAGGGGCAUUCGAUACUGUCAGGCUCGAAGGCAGGAGAGGGAAGCGGAAUUCCCGGUGUAGUGGUGAAAUGCGUAGAUAUCGGGAGGAACACCAGUGGCGAAGGCGGCUUUCUGGCCUGUUCUUGACGCUGAGGCGCGAAAGCCAGGGGAGCGAACGGG